GUUCGCCUACAGAGGAGGAAGAAUUUGAUGCAGAAACUAUGUCGCGGAAUUACAAAAGAUGGACAGACAACGUUGGAAGAAGGAGGAGCUUGAAGAAGCAACACAGACCAUCAAGGACGGUUUUUUUUUAACCAAGCAUCGAAAGUGUUCGAAAACGCUCGAACAACAGUGAAAAGAUUCAUGCAGAAUUCGAAAUGGUCUCAAUGCAAUUUUUCUGGUCUGGAAUCUGGCCAAGACACCUGAUAUCGAUUCCAAAACACUAUUACUGAUUGUAACAUUAUCCCAAAAUACUUUACAUAAAUAUAAGAAUGUUUUUUUGAAUGAA